AGCAGCACGACUUCCUGGUUCGAUAGGAACCCCAGCCGCUUGACAGAGUUUCACGAUGGAUUCUCCAGGGCCAUUAUUUACGUUAUGUAUAGCUAAACAACAUUAGCACUGUGUUGCAUACUUGAAGUGGAAGGAGCUGGUAUAUUAGAACCAAGAAAUAAUUUCUGUAGACCAGUUGUGCUGAUAGCUAUGUGAUUAAGUGCGACUUGUAUGGAUAGAUUAAUAGCUGCUGUUCGACGACCACGUUUCUUUGCGAUCACCUCAUUGUAAAGGUUGAACAUUUUUGAAUGGAGGACUGGAAGACAUUUGGGUGUUGAGUCAAAUUUAAUGGAAAAAUUCAGUGCGAACCUGCAAUGUUUAUAAAUGGAGGGCAGUAAAACUUGAAAAUAUGCCGCACAGCUAUAUGUUUUUAUUAGUGCAAAAAAAAGUAGUGCAUGUCUCCUUUCCAGGGAAAUAUAACAUUCUCUUCAAAACUUCCUGAAUGAAGAG